rnacentral:misc_RNA from 1 species
UGCGCUGUAGUCGUGUAUGCGU